GACGAACGCUGGCGGCGUGCCUAAUACAUGCAAGUAGAACGCUGAAGAGAGGAGCUUUCUCUUCUUGGAUAAGUUGCGAACGGGUGAGUAACGCGUAGGUAACCUGCCUUGUAACGGGGGAUAACUAUUGGAAACGAUAGCUAAUACCGCAUAACAAUUGAUGAAACAUGCCAUUUAUUUGAAAGGGGCAAUUGCUCCACUACAAGAUGGACCUGCGUUGUAGUAGCUAGUAGGUGAGGUAAUGGCUCACCUAGCCGACGAUACAUAGCCGACCUGAGAGGGGGAUCGGCCACAAGGGGACUGAGACACGGCCCAGACUCCUAGGAGAGGCAGCAGUAGGGAAUCUUCGGCAAUGGGGGCAAGCGUGAACGAGCAACGCCGCGUGAGUGAAGAAGGGUUUCGGAUCGUAAAGCUCUGUUGUAAGUUAAGAACGGGUGUGAGAGUUGAAAGUUCACACUGUGACGGUAGCUUAACAGAAAGGGACGGCUAACUACGUG
rnacentral:rRNA from 1 species